rnacentral:rRNA from 1 species
GAUGAACGCUAGCGGCAGGCUUAACACAUGCAAGUCGAGGGGUAUUGGUUUUCGGACCAAGAGACCGGCGCACGGGUGCGUAACGCGUAUGCAAUCUACCUUUUGCAGAGGGAUAGCCCAGAGAAAUUUGGAUUAAUACCUCAUAGUAUAGUACUUUGGCAUCAAGGAACUAUUAAAGUCACAACGGCAAAAGAUGAGCAUGCGUCCCAUUAGCUAGUUGGUAAGGUAACGGCUUACCAAGGCUACGAUGGUAGGGGUCCUGAGAGGGAGAUCCCCCACACUGGUACUGAAGACACGGACCAGAC